ACGGCUGUGCGUUUGGUGGCGCUGUGAGAAACCGGAAGUGCGUGUCCUUAUAAUCUGCUGCACGAAAGGAUGGCUGACGACGAGACCGUCAAAACGGAGGAUUCGCUACCUGUGGCCACGAAAGCCCGUCCUAAAAAAGCCCCAGAGCUCCCGAUACUAGAGAGGAGGAACUGGCUCAUCCAUCUACACUACAUCCGUAAAGACUACGAGACGUGCAAGAUGAUUAUAAAAGAGCAGCUGCAGGAGACUCAGGGCAUGUGUGAAUAUGCCAUAUAUGUCCAAGCUCUGAUCCUACGUGUAGAGGGGAAUAUCCAGCAGUCUCUAGAGCUGUUUCAGAGCUGUGCCAUCCUCAACCCCACCAGCUCAGACAACCUCAAACAAGUGGCUCGCUCUCUUUUUCUCUUAGGAAAACAUAAGGCUGCCAUUGAGGUUUACAAUGAGGCGGCUCGACUCAAUCAGAAAGACUGGGAGAUCAACCAUAAUCUCGGAGUUUGCUACAUCUACACCAAGGACUUCAAGAGUGCUGAGGAGCAUCUAAACACGGCGCUGCAGCUUAACAAGCACGACAUGACUUACAUGAUGCUGGGAAAGAGCUAUCUGCUACAGGGAGACACAGAGAAGGCCAUUGAGAUCUACAAGAGUGCAGUGGAGUUUUCCCCAGAGAACACAGAGUUGCUGACCACACUGGGACUCUUGUAUAUGCAGCUCGGAAAAUAUCAGAGGGCCUUCGAACAUCUUGGGAAUGCUCUGACAUAUGACCCAAACAAUUACAAGGCCAUCCUGGCAGCAGGAAGCAUGAUGCAGAGACAUGGGGAUUUCGAUGUGGCCAUGAAUAAGUAUCGUGUGGCAGCUUUCACUGUGCCUGAAAGCCCCCCGCUCUGGAACAACAUUGGCAUGUGCUUCUUCGGCAAAAAGAAAUAUGUAGCUGCUAUAAGCUGUCUGAAGAGAGCAAACUACCUGUCUCCAUUUGACUGGAAGGUCUUGUAUAAUCUUGGUCUGGUGCAUCUCACCAUGCAGCAGUACGCCUCAGCCUUCCACUUCCUCAGUGCUGCCAUUAAUCUGCAUACACGCAUGGGAGAGCUCUACAUGCUACUCGCAGUCGCCUUGACCAAUUUGGACGACGUAGAAAAUGCGCGCAGGUCAUACGAACAAGCCGUUCAGCUGGAUGAGUCCAACCCUCUGGUGAAUCUGAAUUUUGCAGUGCUGCUGUAUAAUCAGGGAGACAAGAAGGCAGCACUAGAGCAGUACCAGGAGAUGGAGAAAAAAGUCAACACGUUGAUAGAGCACAACAGCAACACUGAGUUUGACCCUGAGCUCAUAGAGAUGGCUCAUAAAAUGGGUGCAGCCCUUCAGGCUGGGGACAAUUUAUUCUGGUCGAAACCUGGCAAAGAGUCCAAGAGCAGCCAGCGCUCAUCUUCCAGCAAGCAGUCCUCCUCCCAGCAGCCCCUGGGCUCUAAUCAAGCCUUGGGUCAGGCCAUGUCGUCUGCUGCAGGUUACAGCAAAAGCAUGCAGCUGGCUGCAGAGCCAGAUGUGCAGAGUGCACCAGCACCCCCCUCUGAGCCUCAAGGAGAUGCUGGACAUGAAGGUGAUGAAGCAGAAGAACUUCCCAAAUCCAAGGAGAAGACAAAGAGCAAGCCCAGAGCAGUCGCAGAGUAGAGCUUGGUCUAAGUGACUGGAAGAGCACCUACAGGAACAUCUAUACAGCUGGUUAGAUGCUUAGCGGCACUGUAGAGAGGACCAAGAGUAAGGAAAACUGUAGCUGGGGCACAAUCUCCGAGUAGAGGAGUCCUUCUGCUGAGAUCGCGUCCCCCAGCCCUACUGUCCGCAGCGGCUGUUUGCAUACGAGUACUGGACUGAGAUGGAAGGACACGUUCCCCCUUCGCCACA